rnacentral:rRNA from 1 species
ACUAACGCUGGCGGCGUGCCUAACACAUGCAAGUCGUACGAGAAAGCGGUAGCAAUAUCGUGAGUAAAGUGGCGAACGGGUGAGUAAUACGUAAAUAAUCUGCCCUUCAGUGGGGGAAAACCCAGGGAAACUUGGGCUAAUCCCCCGUAAGGUAGUGAUCUCGCAUGAGAUUACUAUCAUAGAUUCGUCGCUGAAGGAAGAGUUUAUGACUGAUUAGCUAGUUGGCGGGGUAAAGGCCCACCAAGGCGACGAUCAGUAGCUGGUCUGAGAGGAUGAUCAGCCACACUGGGACUGAGAUACGGCCCAGACUCCUACGGGAGGCAGCAGUGAGGAAUAUUGCGCAAUGGGCGAAAGCCUGACGCAGCAACGCCGCGUGUAGGAUGAAAUCUUUCGAGAUGUAAACUACUGUUAGAGGGGAAGAAAUUCCGGUUACGCCGGAAGUGACGGUACCCUCAGAGAAAGCCCCGGCUAACUCUGU